AACGAACGCUGGCGGCAUGCCUAACACAUGCAAGUCGAACGAUACCUUCGGGUCUAGUGGCGCACGGGUGCGUAACGCGUGGGAACCUGCCCGUAGGUUCGGAAUAACUCCCCGAAAGGGGUGCUAAUACCGGCUAAUGUCUUCGGACCAAAGAUUUAUCGCCUUUGGAUGGGCCCGCGUUGGAUUAGCUAGUUGGUAGGGUAAAAGCCUACCAAGGCGGCGAUCCAUAGCUGGUCUGAGAGGAUGAUCAGCCACACUGGGACUGAGACACGGCCCAGACUCCUACGCAAGGCAGCAGUGGGGAAUAUUGGACUGUGGGCGGAAGCCUGAUGCAGCACUGCCGCGUGAGUGAUGAAGGCCUUAGGGUUGUAAAGCUCUUUUACCCGGGAUGAUCAUGACGGUACCGGGAGAAUAAGCACCGGCUAACUACGUG
rnacentral:rRNA from 1 species